rnacentral:rRNA from 1 species
GGCUUAGGACGAACGCUGGCGGCGUGCUUAACACAUGCAAGUCGAACGAGGUGAUGAAAGCUUGCUUUGAGAACCGAGUGGCAAACGGGUGAGUAACGCGUAGACAACCUGCCGCAAAGAUGGGGACAACAGUCCGAAAGGACUGCUAAUACCGAAUGUUGUCAGUUUUCCGCAUGGGAGACUGAUUAAAGAUGGCCUCUACUUGUAAGCUAUCGCUUUGCGAUGGGUCUGCGUCUGAUUAGCUAGUUGGUGGGGUAACGGCCUACCAAGGCGACGAUCAGUAGCCGGUCUGAGAGGAUGAACGGCCACAUUGGAACUGAGACACGGUCCAGACUCCUACGGGAGGCAGCAGUGGGGAAUCUUCCGCAAUGGGCGAAAGCCUGACGGAGCAACGCCGCGUGAGUGAAGAAGGGUUUCGGCUCGUAAAGCUCUGUUGACGGGGACGAAUGUGCGAAAUGCGAAUAGUUUUUCGCAAUGACGGUACCCGUCGAGGAAGCCACGGCUAACUACGUGCCAGCCGCUGC